rnacentral:rRNA from 1 species
UGGGGAAUUUUGCGCAAUGGGGGAAACCCUGACGCAGCAACGCCGCGUGCGGGACGAAGGCCUUCGGGUUGUAAACCGCUUUCAGCAGGGAAGAUUCAGACGGUACCUGCAGAAGAAGCUCCGGCUAACUACGUGCCAGCAGCCGCGGUAAUACGUAGGGGGCGAGCGUUAUCCGGAUUCAUUGGGCGUAAAGCGCGCGUAGGCGGCCGCCUAAGCGGAACCUCUAAUCCCGGGGCUCAACCUCGGGCCGGGUUCCGGACUGGGCGGCUCGAGUGCGGUAGAGGCAGGCGGAAUUCCCGGUGUAGCGGUGGAAUGCGCAGAUAUCGGGAAGAACACCGAUGGCGAAGGCAGCCUGCUGGGCCGCCACUGACGCUGAGGCGCGAAAGCUGGGGGAGCGAACAGGAUUAGAUACCC